GGGCAGCACAGCCUUGGCAGAGGCUGCCACUCUUAUGGCACCAGCACAGAGGGGCAUGAGGCCAAGUCUUCUGCCAAGGCUGUGCUAGACAGGCAGUUACAGCAGCAGGAGUCUCAGCCCUGUAGGGGAGAAAGAGCAUCUCCACCAUUGUAGCUGGAGGCUGGGACCCCAGAGGCAGACAGAGGCACUAUCGAGGUACAGUUCCUGGAGGAGCAGAACCAGGUGCUGCAAACCAAGUGGGAGCUGCUGUGGCAGCUGGAUGUCAGCUCCUGGUGCACCACCAGCCCGGAGCUUAUCUUCAAGGACUACAUCAGCAACCUCGGGAGGAAGGUGGCCCAGGUCAUGGUAGAAAAAACCAGGCAGCAAGUAGAGCUCAAGGACACUCAAGACUCAGUGGAAAAAUACAAGAGGAAGCUGGAAUAAGGUAGCACGAUCCUGGCUCACUGCAACCUCCGCCUCCUGGAUUCAAGCAAUUCUCAUGCCUCAGCCUCCUGAGUAGCAGAGAUUACAAGCUCCUGCCACCACGCCCAGCUAAUUUUUGUAUUUUUAGUAGAGAUGGGGUUUUACCAUGUUGGUCAUGCUGGUCUCGAACUCCUGACCUCAGGUGAUCUGCCCGCCUCGGCCUCCCAAAGUGCUGAAAUUAUAGGCGUGAGCCAUCGUGCCCAGCCAACGGUCUUCUUAUCUACUACAUCAGACCAGAUAUGAAGCAGAAAUCAACAGCCGGGCAAAUGCUGAGAAUGACUUUGUUGUGGUGCUGAAGAAGUACCAGGAGCUCCAGGUCACUGCCAGGAGGAAGGGUGAGAACCUCAAAACCGUUAAGAUGGAGGUCAAUGAGCUGAACUAAGCCAUCCAGAGACUUCAGGCGGAAAUCACCAACCUCAGGAAACAGAUGGGACCCCAACUCGACAGUGGUAGCCUUUGGAGGGGAGAGAGUGGGAUUAAGAUAGAUUUUUUUCCUACUUGUCUAUAUUCUCAGGUUUUCCACAAUAAAUGGUGGUUAUGAGGAUGGAGAAGAGACAGGCACAGGUGGGUGUGGGAAGGUACCCGGUCUCCUGUGCUCCAGUCACUGCCUGCUGUUGGCCCUCGGCACAGUGCUGCCCUGCUAGACACCAUCCUGGAGGCAGAGAAGAUGGGCAGGAUGCCAUCUUCUCAGGGAUGCCUAGGACAAGUGGGCUGAGUGGAGGCUGGACAGCUGCUCUGUAAGUAUCAGGAGCUGGUGAGCAUCAAGCUGGCCCUGGAGGGCCAGGCAUGCAGGUAGGUCACCCAGAGGGGACAGGACAGGCAAGGGUCCUCACUGCACUCAGCCAUGGUAGGCACUCUCUGUCAGCCCUCCCAUCUGCAUGAUGGGCAAUUAAUUAACUCAUUCACUCCUGAAAUGCUGCUCAGGCUUCAUUCAGCAGUGCUGUCUGGUCAGGGCCUUUGUCCCAGGUGCACAUGAUGAGCACUGAUCCUGGCCCUGUGUGCUGCACUCCUUAACUCUCUGGAAUUUCCCUCACUUGAACAAGAGGGAGAAGGGUGAGGAUUUCCCUGCUGUUGUGAAAGGCUGGGAGAAAAGGUAUAGUUUUCCUUGGUUUCACCUGCUCCAGGCAUGGGUGCAUUGGUCCUGGGCUGGGUAAGGGUAGAGGGGAUGGAGGCUGAGGUUCUGGGAGAGUGUGAGUGCUUGUGCAAGUCUAGGAACAGUGGCCGUGCGCCGAGAACCAGCUCGGUCGGGAGACUCCCACCCAGGUGGGCUGAAGGUAUUGAAGGGCAGACACCCAGAUAGCCAACAGAGUGAUCCAUCUGGGAACCAACAGCCUGAGAGCCUGCAGGGCUGACAGCUCUCCAGGACUGAAGGCCCCCAGCAGAGAUUCAUCCACACAUUAAUUACUCUUUGACAGGUUAUUCUUAUUAAUACACAGGUGCUCUACAUAUACACAGAACUCAGGAAUGUAUCAGGUAGGCAGCUGUUACCUGCCUACCACUACUUACAGACUAAAAGUAACUUCCACCGAGGGAGCCAUGGGGGCAGUGUCCCAUAAAGGAAUGGUGGCCAGGGCCACCGACACCCAAAGGCCCACUGAGAGGGGUUUCCUGUGGGGCCUGGCAUUUGGAUGCAUACGGAAGAAAAGGAAAAGAAUUUGUUUUGACCCAAAAGUCCAUCUCCAAACUGCCUUCAGUUCUGUGUAAGAAGGAUAUUCAGGGAUGCAGAAGGGGUGUUGGGGUGCACAGAACUGUCUCUCCACAGCUGUGGUGUCAAGCACUGUCUCAGCUCCUGGGCAGCUGCGUCUGGUUUCUGCUCAGGGGACAGAGCCUUCCUGAGAGGGAGCACCAUCCCCCGAGGAUCUAGUGCAGCAUCUGGGUCCAUGUCCAGGGCUGUGAGGUCCUCAGGGGCUGGCUAGAGCUUCUGAGGAUCAGACCUCAAGCUAGGAAUCCUGGACACGCUGGUCCUGGCUUCAGAGGUGAGGAGUCCAGUUCAGUGAGAGUCCAGGGCUCCAGCUCAGGCCACAGAAGCCUGUGGGUCUCCCUCCCAGAGACUAAGCCUAAUCUUCUGGCCCUGCUCUCUCCUGGCAUCUGUCUGCCUGAGUAUGCAUACCUGCUCUGGCUCUGCCCCACCUUUUGGCCUUCUUUGGCAGUUUGGAGAUGGACUUUUGGGUCAAAGCAAAUUCUUUUCCUUUUCUCCCAUAUGCAUCCAAACGCCAGGCCCCACAGGAAACCCCCUCUCAGUGGGCCUUUGGGUGUCGGUCACCUUCUCCCUUUCCUCUCCCGGCAGCCUCGUCGUGCGCUUAGCCCACACUGUCUCCUUCUACCGUGCAGAAGCCAGAGCUCCUCCCCUGUCUCCGGUCCUGAAGCAAGGGCGUGCAUAAACACCUUUUGAAACAUGAUUCCUAUCACUUCUCGGUUAUCCACUUUAGUGGAUGUCAGCCAUGGCACUGAUAACCUGCAACCAUGUUCAGCAAGAAGUUGUUUUUACUUCAUUUUGCAGGGCCCCAUAUGACCUAUUCUGGGGCAGAGGGACUCUCUGCUUUCCAUGGAUUCAUAGACCAUGGGUGGCCAUCAAAGGGAGGAGGAGUGAGGAAGAUCUACGGGGACAGGGAGGGUGAAGGUGUGCCAGCCUGGCCCCACCCCAUUUCCCGAGAAAGCCAGUGGAUUAUACACCUGGAGGGCAACCUGAGUGUGGGCUGGGUUCAGGUGUCUCCCCAUCUGCCGGGAUGAAGAUAAAAACAGCAGAAGCAAAUCCAUCACAGAGGCCAUACUUUGGCAGAGUCUAGUUUGAAAUAACAUCCAGUGCGACCUGCUGGGCUACGAGGGGUAUGACUAGAGCCUUGGAACCCUCCAGUUUAUGAAGGAGAUCUUGCAUCCUGUGUUUUGUUGUAAAGGGUUGCCCACUCCCACCUUACCCUCCCUCCCACACUUUUCCAGUAAAUUUCAAGGGGAAUUCAUUCUGUUUGGAAACUUUUAAAAUAAUCACUAAUCAGAUCAGUUCUGAGUAUUGUUCACUAACCCCAAAUUGCCACUCUGCAAGGCACACAUGUGCACACAUGCACACAUACACACACACAUACAUGCACAUAUGUUCAUUCUCUGUUCUAUCCUCGUUCAGCUAUCUGUGCUCACAGGAGGGAACACUGGAAGGGGUGUUUUACCUGUUUGGUUUUGGAAGGUGGGCACAAAGGACCCUUGUUUCCUCUCUCUAUUAUGAAAGCUCAGCUUCCAUUUUUACAGCAAUAACUUUAGGUCUUGAGCCUUGCUUGGCAGCCAAGCUGGUGUUAUUAUUGGCUAAUUUCGGGGUAAUAGUGUUGCUAACAUUAUUGGUAAGAGGAUUAUUAUCAGGUGACUAAAUGGCCAGAGGCUGUGGAGUGGGAAAAGCAGCCUGGGGGCUCAGGUCAUGAGGGCAGCUCUCCUGUUUUGUCUCCUGCUUUGCUCCUGCUUUGCUCGGGAGGCGGUUUCCAGUCCACACUGCACUCAAGAGUCCAGACUGUUGUAUUGGAAGGCAGGUCUCAUCAGUUCCCUGUUGUGAGCUCUGUUUUGAGCAGCAAGGGGAGGAAGAUAGCCAGGGAUAAUGGGGCACAGGUCCUGCCUUCGAGCCACUCCUAUGCUUCUGAAGAGGCAGCAUGCAUUCAUUCAACAACCAUGUAUGUGCCAGAUUCUAUUCCCAACACUAAUACAAGAGGGUGACCAAGACCUCUGUCUACUGGGAAGCAGGUAAGUGAAUGUGCUGAGUAUAGUGAGACAGAUGCUGUCUUGGGAAGAGCAUCUCAGGAACAAGAGACCCAGAUUAGGAGAAGGGAGACUUCCUUGAUAAGGAGCCCUCAAAGCUGAAACCUGAAACCUGCAGGAUGUAUUUAGAGGUAUAUUGUUUAGUUAAUAAGUGUUUGGAUAGAUCCCAUUGUCUUUCCUUUGUUUAUAUUCAGUUUUAUUUAUUUUGGUUACAGAACAUACUCUGUAUGGUGUAAGUUAUUUUCCACUUGUUAAGGUUGAUUUUAUAUCCCAGAAUGUGGCCUAUCUGGGUGAAUGUCCUGUGGGCACUUGAGCAGAAUAUUUAUUCUGCUUUUAUUAGGUGGAAUGUCUUGUAAAUAUCAACUGACCCUGCUGGUUGAUGGUACUGUUGAGCUCUCUCACAC